rnacentral:rRNA from 1 species
UAUCUCUGUAGAGUCUGCAUAUCAAUAAGCGGAGGAAAAGAAACUAACUAAGGAUUCCCUCAGUAACGGCGAGUGAAGCGGGAAGAGCUCAAAUUUGAAAUCUUCAAGGUUUUACCUUGACGAAUUGUAGUUUAAAGAAGUGUUUUCUGUUGGAGUUUUGGUAAAAGUUCUUUGGAAUAGGACAUCAUAGAGGGUGAGAAUCCCGUAUUUGACCAUUACUUCCAGCGUUGUGAUACACUUUCAAAGAGUCGGAUUGUUUGGGAAUGCAGUCCAAAAUGGGUGGUAAAUUUCAUCUAAAGCUAAAUAUUGGCGAGAGACCGAUAGCGAACAAGUACCGUGAGGGAAAGAUGAAAAGAACUUUGAAAAGAGAGUUAAACAGUACGUGAAAUUGUCAAAAGGGAAGCGUUUGACACCAGUGUUGUUUUCUCGAAAAUCAAUUAAAAAAAGUUGGAUUUUGUAUUGUUAAGACCUUAUCAGCUUACUGUACUCUUUUCUUGCUUUUUUUAAUGCACUUUUCGUUUAACAAGUCAACAUCAAUUUCUUUUGUUGUAAAAGAGUCAUUGGAAGGUGGCUUUCACUUUCGGAUGAAAGUGUUUAUAGCCUUUGGCUUCUGCAAUCGGAGAGAUUGAGGUCUGCAGCGUAGAUCCUUCGGGGCUAGAUACAUUAGAUGCUAAGUUAUAGCUUUUUAUAGACAACUUGUUGACUAUGAUUAAGUCAUGUAGCUUACUCGUUAUGCCUAUUUUACCUACGCUUAGGAUGUUGACGAGACUGUCGAUCUC